rnacentral:rRNA from 1 species
UGGGGAAUAUUGCACAAUGGGCGAAAGCCUGAUGCAGCGACGCCGCGUGAGGGAUGACGGCCUUCGGGUUGUAAACCUCUUUCAGCAGGGACGAAGCGCAAGUGACGGUACCUGCAGAAGAAGCACCGGCUAACUACGUGCCAGCAUCCGCGGUAAUACGUAGGGUGCAAGCGUUGUCCGGAAUUACUGGGCGUAAAGAGUUCGUAGGCGGUUUGUCGCGUCGUUUGUGAAAACCAGCAGCUCAACUGCUGGCUUGCAGGCGAUACGUGCAGACUUGAGUACUGCAGGGGAGACUGGAAUUCCUGGUGUAGCGGUGAAAUGCGCAGAUAUCAGGAGGAACACCGGUGGCGAAGGCGGGUCUCUGGGCAGUAACUGACGCUGAGGAACGAAAGCGUGGGUAGCGAACAGG